rnacentral:rRNA from 1 species
AGCCACAGCCAUAUCACCCUGCAGCCAAGCAGGGCUGAGCUUUGUCAGUACCUGGAUGGGAGACCACAUGGGAAAACUAGGUUGCUGUUGGAA